rnacentral:rRNA from 1 species
UACGUAUGGAGCAAGCGUUAUCCGGAUUUACUGGGUGUAAAGGGAGCGUAGGCGGCAUACCAAGCCUGAUGUGAAAACUCGGGGCCCAACCCCGGGAGUGCAUUGGGAACUGGCAAGCUAGAGUGUCGGAGAGGCAGGCGGAAUUCCUAGUGUAGCGGUGAAAUGCGUAGAUAUUAGGAGGAACACCAGUGGCGAAGGCGGCCUGCUGGACGAUGACUGACGCUGAGGCUCGAAAGCGUGGGGAGCAAACAGG